rnacentral:rRNA from 1 species
ACGCACGCUGGCGGCGUGCCUAAUACAUGCAAGUUGAGCGCUGAAGGUUGGUACUUGUACCAACUGGAUGAGCAGCGAACGGGUGAGUAACGCGUGGGGAAUCUGCCUUUGAGCGGGGGACAACAUUUGGAAACGAAUGCUAAUACCGCAUAAAAACUUUAAACACAAGUUUUAAGUUUGAAAGAUGCAAUUGCAUCACUCAAAGAUGAUCCCGCGUUGUAUUAGCUAGUUGGUGAGGUAAAGGCUCACCAAGGCGAUGAUACAUAGCCGACCUGAGAGGGUGAUCGGCCACAUUGGGACUGAGACACGGCCCAAACUCCUACGGGAGGCAGCAGUAGGGAAUCUUCGGCAAUGGACGAAAGUCUGACCGAGCAACGCCGCGUGAGUGAAGAAGGGUUUCGGAUCGUAAAACUCUGUUGGUAGAGAAGAACGUUGGUGAGAGUGGAAAGCUCAUCAAGUGACGGUAACUACCCAGAAAGGGACGGCUAACUACGUG